UGCCAGCCGCCGCGGUAAUACGGAGGGUGCAAGCGUUGUUCGGAAUUAUUGGGCGUAAAGCGCGUGUAGGCGGUUCGUUAAGUCUGAUGUGAAAGCCCGGGGCUCAACCCCGGAAGUGCAUUGGAAACUGGCGAACUUGAGUACGGGAGAGGAAAGUGGAAUUCCGAGUGUAGGGGUGAAAUCCGUAGAUAUUCGGAGGAACACCAGUGGCGUAGGCGGGCGACUGGACGAGUACUGACGCUGAGGCACGAAAGCGUGGGGAGCAAACAGGAUUAGAUA
rnacentral:rRNA from 1 species